rnacentral:rRNA from 1 species
GAUGAACGCUAGCGGUAGGCAUAACACAUGCAAGUCGAGGGGCAGCAUAUUGGGUAGCAAUACUUGAUGAUGGCGACCGGCGGAUGGGUGAGUAACGCGUAUGCAACCUACCUUGUACAGGGGGAUAGACACUGGAAACGGUGCGUAAUAUCCCGUAAUGUUGUUUGGAGGCAUCUCUAAAUAAAGAAAGGAAGAGAUUUGGUAUAAGAUGGUCUCGCGUCUGAUUAGCUAGUUGGUGAGGUAACGGCUCACCAAGGCGACGAUCAGUAGCCGGUCUGAGAGGAUGAACGGCCACAUUGGAACUGAGACACGGUCCAAACUCCUACGGGAGGCAGCAGUGGGGAAUAUUGCACAAUGGGCGAAAGCCUGAUGCAGCAACGCCGCGUGAAGGAAGAAGGUCUUCGGAUCGUAAACUUCUGUCCUUAGGGAAGAUAAUGACGGUACCUUUGGAGGAAGCCCCGGCUAACUACGUG